AUUGAACGCUGGCGGCAUGCUUUACACAUGCAAGUCGAACGGUAACAGGUUAAGCUGACGAGUGGCGAACGGGUGAGUAAUGUAUCGGAACGUGCCCAGUCGUGGGGGAUAACGUAGCGAAAGCUAAGCUAAUACCGCAUACGAUCUGUGGAUGAAAGCGGGGGACCGUAAGGCCUCGCGCGAUUGGAGCGGCCGAUAUCAGAUUAGGUAGUUGGUGGGGUAAAGGCCCACCAAGCCAACGAUCUGUAGCUGGUCUGAGAGGCCGACCAGCCACACUGGGACUGAGACACGGCCCAGACUCCUACGGGAGGCAGCAGUGGGGAAUUUUGGACAAUGGAGGCAACCCUGAUCCAGCAAUGCCGCGUGCAGGGAGAAGGCCUUCGGGUUGUAAACUGCUUUUGUACGGAACGAAAAGGCUCUGGUUAAUACCUGGGGUUUAUGACGGUACCGUAAGAAUAAGCACCGGCUAACUACGUGCCAGCCGCCGCCGUAACAC
rnacentral:rRNA from 1 species